ensembl:lncRNA
AAAGAAUUAUAAAUAGUAGUCUAACUUUAACCAUUUUACUGUGAUUCGAACUUGAUCUGUCCUUCUCCAGCUGCUUCUGAGGACGUAGAAGCAGUGGAUAUUAAACACAAUAGGUGUAUAAUAUAAAAGACUGGGUCACACCGUAUCACCCAGGCUGCACUACCGCGUCUAUUCACAGGUGCUAUCCCACUACUGAUCGGUACGGUGGCUUUGACCUGCUCCGUUCCCGACCUGGGCCGGUUCACCCCUCCUUAGACGACCUGGUAGUCCACAGCUUCCUUAGGAACACCAUAUCGACACCGAUCUUAGUGCGGACACCCGAUCAACAAAGCCCACGGUAGUCCAUAACCCCUGAGCUCAAGAGCUCCACCAGCCUCAGCCGCCCAGUGACGUGGAUUACAGGCGCGCGCCACCGCAACCGGCAUGCAGCGUUUACUCCGAAAUGAGUUUUACAUUUAAAUGGGUCUUCAUUAUGGUGCCACCUAGUGGCCAUUAAUGCUGCAAAUGGAAUAUUCUGUGCCAUCCAUUUAAUGCAAAGGUAAACAUGACUGAUGAAAUAAAGAAGUCGAUUAAGUAUUGGAUGUAUAUGGUUGGAUCUGGAAGAAAGUCAACACUGAAUGCAAUGGGUUGAUGCCCUAGGACGCUUCUUUCUCAUAAGUCG